UACGGAAGGCAGCAGUGGGGAAUAUUGCACAAUGGGCGCAAGCCUGAUGCAGCCAUGCCGCGUGUAUGAAGAAGGCCUUCGGGUUGUAAAGUACUUUCAGUCGUGAGGAAGGUGUUAAGGUUAAUAACCUUAGCAAUUGACGUUAGCGACAGAAGAAGCACCGGCUAACUCCGUGCCAGCAGCCGCGGUAAUACGGAGGGUGCGAGCGUUAAUCGGAAUUACUGGGCGUAAAGGGCACGCAGGCGGUUAAUUAAGUUGGAUGUGAAAUCCCCGGGCUUAACCUGGGAAUGGCAUUCAAGACUGGUUAGCUAGAGUCUUGUAGAGGGGGUAGAAUUCCAUGUGUAGCGGUGAAAUGCGUAGAGAUGUGGAGGAAUACCGGUGGGCGAAGGCGGCCCCUGGGACAAAGACUGACGCUCAUGUGCGAAAGCGUGGGGAGCGAAACAGGGAUU
rnacentral:rRNA from 1 species